AUUGAACGCUGGCGGCAGGCUUAACACAUGCAAGUCGAGCGAGCGGCGGACGGGUGAGUAAUGUCUGGGAACUGCCUGAUGGAGGGGGAUAACUACUGGAAACGGUAGCUAAUACCGCAUACUAUCGGAUAACCCAUAUGGGAUUAGCUAGUUGGUGAGGUAAUGGCUCACCAAGGCGACGAUCCCUAGCUGGUCUGAGAGGAUGAUCAGCCACACUGGGACUGAGACACGGCCCAGACUCCUACGGAGGCAGCAGUGGGGAAUAUUGCACAAUGGGCGCAAGCCUGAUGCAGCCAUGCCGCGUGUAUGAAGAAGGCCCUAGGGUUGUAAAGUACUUUCAGUCGGGAGGCGUUACCGACAGAAGAAGCACCGGCUAACUCCGUGCCAGCAGCCGCGGUAAUUC
rnacentral:rRNA from 1 species